AGAAUCAACGCUGGCGGCGUGCCUAACACAUGCAAGUCGAACGAGAAAGUGGAGCAAUCCAUGAGUAAAGUGGCGACCGGGUGAGUAACACGUGACUAACCUACCUUCGAGUGGGGGAUAACCUCGGGAAACCGAGGCUAAUACCGCAUAACAUCGCAAGAUCAAAGCAGCAAUGCGCUGGAAGAGGGGGUCGCGGCUGAUUAGCUAGUUGGCGGGUAACGCCCACCAAGGCGAAGAUCGGUAUCCGGCCUGAGAGGGCGCACGGACACACUGGAACUGAAACACGGUCCAGACUCCUACGGGAGGCAGCAGUGGGGAAUUUUGCGCAAUGGGGGAAACCCUGGCGCAGCAACGCCGCGUGGAGGAUGAAGCCCCUUGGGGCGUAAACUCCUUUCGACCAAGACGAUAAUGACGGUACUGGUGGAAGAAGCACCGGCUAACUCUGCGCCAGCAGCCGC
rnacentral:rRNA from 1 species